ACUUAAUAGUAACUCUGUACCAAAUACAGUAGUUCUGGGGUCAGAGGGGACUGGGGCCCACUAGGGGGCCUCAGCAAACUUCUAAAAGAGCCACAACAUGACUUAAAUAAUAUAAUUUAAAAACAUUAUAACUUAAUUACAAUGCCACAACAACUAAAAUGUUUAUAUCAAACAUAUAAAGUGACUUUUUUAUUGAUAGAUGUACGCAAAAUUAACCACAGCAAAUUAUUUUAGUCUAUUAAUAUUCCAUCCAUUGUAACCACCUCCAAAAUAAUAUAGUUACGAGUGUAAUUAUUGUUAAAUCACAUCCUCCAGUCGUGAAUAUGUGGCUACAAGCUUAAAUAUAUGAGUAAGAGUAUUCCGAAUACAUUACAGGGCUUUAUAACUCAAUAAAUUUUCUUCACCAUAAUUCAAUUGAUGAUAAAAAUGAAUUAUAAUAAUGUAAUAUCUUUAUUAAACAACAAUUUGUUACUCUGGGAAAUCUAUCUCUAUCAUAUCAGUAUACAUUCACAUACACAUCUGAACAUAUACAUUAGUAUAUAACCACUUUUAUCUGUCAUUGGGCAAAUUGUGCAUAAACGUAAAGCAUACAGUUUUGUAUAUAUGUACUCACUUUCAAAUACUAUACUUAUUUUUCCAGUCUUCAGUGAUGAACAGUCUCAUAUAUAGAUCUACAGUAAGGCUCAACAUAUUAUUUUUUUUUUCUCAAUAUGAUAUUCCCUUUUUCACCUAAAAACCAAGGUUUACAAAAACAACCAUAGCACCAUAUGUCGUCAGUAUUAGUAAUAUUUUCCCCAAAAAUAAGGUCUAAUGCAUUACUAGACAUCAGGUUUGUUCUCAAAUAAUGGCAAUCAAACAAAACAAUUUACUUUCAUUUGUAUUUGACAACAUCAAAUAAAUCUUUUUUUUCCCAACAUAAGUAAUGAGUACAGUCAGUUAAGAAAAAAAGAAACGUUACAGAUAGUAGCAAAUAAUUUGCUUAAUAAUUUUGUGCCUUCUUUCUUUAAUACCCCAUGUGAGAAAUACAAUGACGAUCUAACACAAUCUGUUUCACAGGUGAUUUACCCAUCUCCAACAGCAUGGAUAACAACUCUAAAAAUCAGCAGCAAUUCAUCUGACAACCAUAAUCAAUCAUAAGAUUAUUUUUCCAACAAAAUAUACAGCCAGCUCUACAAUAACAGAAGAAAUACACAUAGGUUUAGGACAUAGAGAUGACAGGAAUAUACAGCACGGCAAUCACCUUCUAUAUGUUUUUAGCGAUCCCUUUUUAUCAGAAGUACUUUUAGGCCUGUGGAUGAAUGUCAAAAUGAUGCAUUUUCAUCUUUUUUUCUCUUAUGAGAAAUCCUAGUGCAGAUUUUAAACACCUAAACAUUUUUUUUUAAACAAAUAUACACAAAAAUGAACAGAAAUUUGGGGAAGAAGUAAAAAAAAUUAAGAUAUUUGCUGCACCAAUGCUUCUUUGUGCAGGUUGAAACAUAAUAAAUGGCACCAUAUUUCAAAGAGAGAUGUUUGGCUGUAAACUGUGUUGAGGUGCUUGUUCUUCCAGAGAGGAAAGUGUCCGUGAGCUUAAAGAGGCAGGUCUAUCGGAUGGUGGCCUUGCUUAGUGAGCCACGACAGGGGUCCUGCAGUCCACAUUCGUGGUAGCACCUUAAGAAUAUGUUGAUAAGCACCAGGUCAAGAAACAAAAAUGCACCGUUUUGUGGUCGUUUUGUCAUCAGAACAUUUGGCUCUAUUUCAAUACUGAUCAUUGCAGAACCACUGUGGAUUUGAUGAGCAUAUGUAGAUGCUCUGGAGCGAUGGGUGGGACGUUGCAUUGAAGAAAGCAUGCAAGUGUGUUGGAGGGGUCACCAUAGGAUGCAUUUUGUGGGCAUGCUAAAAAUCCAAAGGAUGUAGAAGCAGUCUGAAGAUGGUUCACCACUAGAGGCCGUUAAAAAUGUGUCCAAUGCCAUCUCAGAUUUAAGUUAAAAUAUUCGAUCCAGUGAGCACCAUAUUUACGUACCCCACUUUUUCUAUUCUUAUUGGUCUACACACAUUUUUUUCUUUUUUUCUUCUUUUUUUUUUUUUGCAGGCAUAAAUCCAUUUGGCUAGACAUUUUUGUUCACAAGACAAACGACAGAGAGAAAAGAUUAACUUGUUGGCACUACAGCUCAUUCGUUUUGCAAGACAGAGGAAGGCAUAGACAGAAGUACAUUAACAAUCAUUAAAGAAAUUGCUAACUUCAUCAUAACUGUCAUUUAGUACCCAAACAAACCAAUUAAAUCUCUUUCCUUUUUCGCAUCUGCUCAUAAAAGCCUUGUGAAUGUUUGAAUGGAACCGGUCUUCUUCAGGAAUUAAAACCCAACAUUCAAGUAGGCUAGAUGUUAAGUAUUGCCUUUCAGACAUAAUACGCAGAUUUAGAUUCACUUCCUGCGCGGGUAUGGGACAAAAUUGACUGGCUUGUUACAGUACUGAGUGAAAUAUGAAUGGAGAUAGAGACACUGGCAUUGUUGUUUGCUGCACUGGCUGCCAUGGCUAUACAGAAGCACCCAAAAAGACAAGGCACCACAAAGAAUCAGAUAUUAGAGACUGGUCCCGCUCACCCACCCCACCCUCGACGAAGUGGUGGCAUGACUUUAACAUCGACUAAUCUGUUGUGUAACUUCUUUGACUAGUAAGGCGGUAAUCUAAAACAAACCAAUUCGGAAUUAUACGUGUGCUGUACGGGGUAGGAUUUGUUUCAAAUCUCUCCCUGUGUCUGCUCAAACGUGGCAAUGUUGGUCACUACACAUCAUGCUAAUGCGCAAGUAGAAUAAUAGAAGAAAAUAUCACAGUGUAGUUGAAAAUAUCACCUGGUCUGUCUUACCUCAAGUGCGUUAGUAGAAACCGAAUCUGUAAUUGGACUAUGAACGUAUGACUAAAUACCACACUCUAAAAAGAUGCUGGGUUAUUUUUAAAUAUUUUUAUUUUUAAUAUUUUUACCCAGGUGCUGGGUCAUUUUUACUGUCAAUACAAAUGAUGAACCCCCUAAAAUAUCUACCCAGCGCUAGGUCAAUGUAGCCCAAUGUUGGGUAGUCUGUGCCAAACCGGUUAAAACUGGAUAUUGUCAACGGCCAUUUUUUGUUCUGAGAGAAAACUUCCCGAGGGGAAACUUCUUGAAUGAAAUUAAGGUUUGUAUUACAUUGUAUUCCUAUCAAAUUAUUACCGUAUAAAUAGGAAAAAGUCUGUAGUCUCACAUUUUACCUUUGUUUACAUGUACGUCGCAGCUAACGCUAGGCUUCUACAAUACACCGGAUCUACACUCAAAGCGAACGACGCGCCGGCGCCACCAUUAACGCUUCACCUCCGUCAAACGAAUGCGCGACUAGGGCUGAAACACGACGCGACAUCGCUGUCAUAUAAAACGAAUUUGUUGUGCUGUAAUAUAGUGACAACAAUAGGAGCGCUAUAGAUCUAGUGCGCUAGCGUUGCAGCUGCGGUCGCGCUAUGCGUUUGUAUGACAGACGAGAUGGCACAACAAGAUUACCACUGGCUGCUGCUCCCGCUGUCCUAAACCCUUUACUAAAUGUUUUUUUGAGUGUUUUAUGAUUGUAAAAGACUGACUUUGAAUAAAAAAUAUUGUAUGUAAACUGCUUCUGUCUUACAUAUAUAACAGAGAUUUUGGGGUGCAGUUUUAUUAUUUAAAAUGAAAAACCUUUGAUAUCAUGUUGACUAACCCAGCACUGUCAAAAAACAACCCAGCAAAUGGGUUAAUGUAUAAAACCCAACAUGCUGGGUCAAAUAUUUACCCAGCGCUGGGUUGCCAAAUAACCCAGAAAUGGUUGUUUUUAACCCAGCAUUUUUUAGAGUGCAGGCAGCCGAGUCACGCAACAACAAGUUAAACGCGUAAAAACAAGUUAAAGUAGUCGUACACAUCAUAACAUAACAGGGUUGGUGCAUAUCCCAGCAAACAACAGUGCAUCAAUGUGCCAAGCACCUAAAGGAUUGGAAUAUCGGUGACUGUUACAGGCACUGUAAGGGAAUAGGGAACAGGAAACAGAAACAUUUCUUAGUUUCAACUGAAAACCUGAUAUUGCGAAGGAUUACGGAAUUUUGAUGUUUCGGAAUUGCAUGAAAUCGCCUGCCCAUCCCUGAUUCCCUUUGGCCAGGUUAUAAAUCCAAGUUGUUAAGCAAGUUUUUGCAUCCGAGUAUCCCAGAUAACACUCGCAUGAGAGGGGUGGAGGGGUCUGAGCAGCAACCAAGGAUGGAGCUGAAGAGGUAAGACCUACAAACCAAAGUCACACACACAUACACACGAAUGCACACUCUCAC